GUGGAAUAUAACCAUGUUCGUAUCAUCCAAUCAACACAUGUGCUUUUUGUGUUCUGAUGAAUUUAUAUUAAGAACUAAUGAUAUUUUUUAGUGAUAAACGAAGUGUCAAUCGACAGCGACAAACACAAUGUGCGUGUGUGCAUUUAUAUACGCAAGUAUCCAUACAUGUAUGCAUGUAAGUGUUUUGCGUCUAAACUGUAUAUUGAAAUUUUUUUAAACAAAUGUGCUUGGUGUGCAAUUGUGCAUGUCGCGCUCCAGCAGAUGAGUAACGAGUCAG
rnacentral:lncRNA from 1 species